rnacentral:rRNA from 1 species
AGCGAACGCUGGCGGCAGGCCUAACACAUGCAAGUCGAACGAACUCUUCGGAGUUAGUGGCGGACGGGUGAGUAACACGUGGGAACGUGCCUUUUGGUUCGGAAUAACUCAGGGAAACUUGUGCUAAUACCGAAUGUGCCCUUCGGGGGAAAGAUUUAUCGCCAUUAGAGCGGCCCGCGUCUGAUUAGCUAGUUGGGGAGGUAACGGCGCACCACGGCGACGCUCAGUAGCUGGUCUGAGAGGAUGACCAGCCACACUGGGACUGAGACACGGCCCAGACUCCUACGGGAGGCAGCAGUGGGGAAUCUUGCGCAAUGGGCGAAAGCCUGACGCAGCCAUGCCGCGUGAAUGAUGAAGGUCUUAGGAUUGUAAAAUUCUUUCACCGGGGACGAUAAUGACGGUACCCGGAGAAGAAGCCCCGGCUAACUUCGUG